rnacentral:rRNA from 1 species
UACGUAGGGUGCAAGCGUUAAUCGGAAUUACUGGGCGUAAAGCGUGCGCAGGCGGCUGUGUAAGACAGAUGUGAAAUCCCUGGGCUUAACCUAGGAACUGCAUUUGUGACUGCAUUGCUAGAGUGUGGUAGAGGGAGAUGGAAUUCCGCAUGUAGCAGUGAAAUGCGUAGAUAUGCGGAGGAACACCAAUGGCGAAGGCAAUCUCCUGGACCUGCACUGACGCUCAUGCACGAAAGCGUGGGGAGCAAACAGG